rfam:Triticum aestivum genome assembly, contig: Triticum_aestivum_CS42_TGACv1_scaffold_165120_2DL
CAAGUACUCCCUCCGUCCAGAAUUACUUGUCAUCAAAAUGGAUGUCUCUAGAACUAAAAUACAUCUAGAAACAUCCAUUUUAAUAACAAGUAUUUUCGGACGGAGGGAGUACAAG